GAUGAACGCUGGCGGCGUGCCUAAUACAUGCAAGUCGAGCGAACGGACGAGAAGCUUGCUUCUCUGAUGUUAGCGGCGGACGGGUGAGUAACACGUGGAUAACCUACCUAUAAGACUGGGAUAACUUCGGGAAACCGUAGCUAAUACCGGAUAAUAUUUUGAACCGCAUGGUUCAAAAGUGAAAGACGGUCUUGCUGUCACUUAUAGAUGGAUCCGCGCUGCAUUAUCUAGUUGGUAAGGUAACGGCUUACCAAGGCAACGAUGCAUAGCCGACCUGAGAGGGUGAUCGGCCACACUGGAACUGAGACACGGUCCAGACUCCUACGGGAGGCAGCAGUAGGGAAUCUUCCGCAAUGGGCGAAAGCCUGACGGAGCAACGCCGCGUGAGUGAUGAAGGUCUUCGGAUCGUAAAGCUCUGUUAUUAGGGAAGAACAUAUGUGUAAGUAACUGUGCACAUCUUGACGGUACCUAAUCAGAAAGCCACGGCUAACUACGUG
rnacentral:rRNA from 1 species